UGUCUGGUGACGGUGAGCGCUGAGAGCUGU
rnacentral:piRNA from 1 species